UGACAAUUACUGUUUUUACUGUAUUUUUAUCAAAUAAAUGCAGAUUUGGUGAGCAUAAGAGGCUUCAUAAAUGAUUUCGAAAUCAUUUAAAAAUGUGUAGUGUCUGACAAAAAUGUACAUUUAUCAGUUUAUGCACUCCAUGUUCAAACCCAUGACAUUGGCAUUGACUAUUACCAUUCUCUACUUUGAUGUGCUCUAAUUUCUCUGCUAGAAAUUUAGCAAUACGCCUUUGAGGUCGUGUGGCAUAAAAUUGUGGCUAAGCUCAUAUCUGGUGAAGCAGGAAGUUGUUGGUUUGUUCCCUGCAAGAAAUGAGUCAGAUACCAUUGCUAUUGAUCCCUCAAGCAAAAUGUACAGUAAUCAAAAUUGAGCUUAUUUAAAUUGAUUCAUCAGUGCACAUUAUUGUGAAGAAAAACGUUUAAUUAAGUAUUUCAUCAAAAUGUAAUGAUUUUCUCCUCUUCACAAACCAUUUUCCUUUUCAACUGAUCCUAGAACAUGCAGACCAUUGGCAAGUAAUGAUUUGAAAGAAAAAAAAAGUGUUGGCAUUGGGAUAUCUGGUCUUUCUUAUCAUUUACAUCAUAAUAAGUUUCCUUUUUUUUGGUUUUUUUUCAUGAUUUUAUGACUAUCGGGCCUUGAAAUGUGACAUUUUGCAAUUUACCCGGAAACCAAAAUAGUAUUAAGCAAGAUUAAUUUGAUCUCAGACUUCUUGGUUUGUGUGAAACAGUUUCCACUUAUAACGCACACUGCAAAAAGCCCACUAAACUGACAUCAAACUUGGCAGGGCCAUAACCACUAAUAAUUAUAUGGCCAAAUUGUAUUUCAUACACUUGGAAUCAAACCCCCCUAACCUGGAAGACAUUAUGGUUUUGUGAACACAAUUGUAUGAAAACACUUCAACUAAGGCAUAAGUAAACCAUCAUAGAAAGCUUAUAAUUACACAUUUGAGUGAUUCUGAUAACAUAAAGUUGAGUUACUGAGUUCAAAAUAUCAAACUGGCUAUAAACAUCCAUUUACAAAAUUAUCCAACCCCAAAAGUUACAUUUUGUAGAGAAUCCUUCACUUCUAUAACCUCAAAUAAAUAUUGUCUAUAAGUGCUUACAAGCUUCUUGCACUCUACUGGAAUCUUCGGCCAUUCCUUGUGUGUACAAGCUUCCAGCUCACUGAUAUUCUUUGGUUUCUGUGCUGCCAAGGAUAUCACCAAGGAUUUUAUAGGAAAUUUAAAUCUGGAAACUGAGCAGGCCAUUUAAGAACAGUCCAGGAUUGAUACCUGAACAAAGCUUUGGUAUUUGGAUCUAUACUUGGGAUCAUUGUCCGGGUGGAAAGUCCAAUUAUCAAGUAAAACUUUAGUUUACAUUCUCCAGGCAUAAUAUAAUCUUUGCCAAAAUGGCCUGAUAAUCCAAUAAAUUCAUGACGCUGAUCACAUGGUCAAGAAAGUGUUCUUCUGGUCAUAAGUCAAGCCGACUACUUCGGAUCCAUGGGUCCAGAAAGUUCCCGUUUGAUCUCAUCACUCCAUAAAACAUUCUUCCAGAAUGCCACAGGACUAUCCAAGUUCAUUUAGCAUAUUCAAGUUUGCCUUUUAUGUUCUCUUGGUCAAGAGUGGCAUUUGUCAAGGCGUCCGGACAUGAAGUCAAUGCUUGUUUGUUUAGCUAUCAACUUGUCUACCAACUGUGACUCUAGGAUCUUUUAGUGUCUUGGAAAUGUUCUUGUAGCCCUAGCCUUCUUCUCUUAGCUUUUGUGAGAGCUAUUUUGUUUUUGCUACUCAACUUCAGUACAUGCAUGGGCUAAAAUUAUGCAUGGCUUACAACUGAAGCUAAUUAAUUUUCGUUAUAGAGUUCCCAAAGGCUUAUAAGUAACCCCAAGUAAUAUUAUAGCACAAAGAAGAUAUUUUUGAUAGAUAUCCAUAUAAUGAAUGUGGGUUCAAAAUAACAAUGGGCUCCAUUAACUUUCAUUGUUUGGACAAAACAUCCCACUGAGGCACAUAUUUAAAAACUGUUGUGUUCCACAGAAGAAAGUUGAAUGUUUGGAGCCAUAUGAGGUUAGUAAAUAUCCUAGUGUGAGCCUAUAGCACCAUCAGCUGUUAGUUAUAGAGAAUCUGAAGUUGUUUGGUUGAAAUGUGUGUACAGUACACUAUGAUUGUAAGGCUUUGUUAGUUUUUUUGUUGUUGUUUUUUUACAAAAUCCAUGAUGAAAAAAUUCAACAACAUUUUUUACAUGACUAAGACAAGACUGAACUGUGUAUAUAAAAAUAUUUCAUGCAAUGCAAUAUUGUUAAUGAAAAAAAAGACAACCUUAGCGAAAAAAAAAAAACCGAUACCAAAAUGUAAUAAAAAUACAUCUAUUUCAUACUAAGUAUAAUACAGAUCCAUUGACAUAUUUAAUGACAUAUCACUUGAGACUUACUUUAAACUUUUUUUGGAGUACUUCUUUUGCACAAUGCACAUUUCUUAAUAUUAAGCCUAAAAUGUGUUACACUGUUAGGAGGGAUAGUAUGAUCUCUGUAUCAUAUCAGUCUUUAAAUGCAACGUAUUUAAAGUGUACCUAAAUUAUACUUGCAAUAGUUCAAUUUUAGCACAAUCAAAUAUACUUCAGUAUAUCUUUAGUUGGACCUCAGCACUACUUCUUGAUAACUAAAGUGCAUUAAGUACAAAAUUAGUUGUUCCAUUUUAGCAGACUUCAAGUAUAUAAAUUUAGUAUACCAAAAGUACAAUUGCAGGAUAUUUAUAUAAAGUACAUAAAUAUGUAAAUGUAUGUAGUUGUUACGUAUGCAGGUAGAGAGAUGAGGCUGAUACAGAUUUCCACAAUAGCAACUAUACAUUUAUUAAACAGAAGGCAGCAAUCACCAAACAUACAUUUAACAAAACAGAGAACGGACAAGGAGUGCAGGGAGUGAGUGCCAUAUAAAGGGAGUGGUGAUAAUAGAGUCCAGGUGCAUGUGAUGAGUGAUGAUGAGGAGCUGACGAGGGAAGUGAGUGCAGGUGACGAAACAGGAGGAUCAUGGGAAUUAGAGUCCAGGGGAACAGGGGAUCUGUGACAGUAGUAUACUUAGCAUAAUAUAAAUGUAUUUAAAAUACAUUUUGGUAUGUUUAUUUUUCACUUGGAAAGACUAAAAUGGAGAAUAAAAAAACAAAAUCUUAUCUUUAUUUAAUUGACAAAUAAGUAGAUUUUUUUUUUUUUUUUUUUUUGAUGGAUUUUGUUGACUAAAAAAAUAAAAUUCCCAGACAUUUAGUCAAGUAAAACUUGACAAAACAAAUAUCAGGUUAAGGUUGAACAUCUAAAACUAAUUGAGUCUCUUCAGGAAGAGAUUCGUCGGUGUGAAAGUUUUUUGCAGAUAAUUGCUUAAUAUUUCCUCUUUACUAAAACAGCUUCUCUUAUUAACACUGCUACAGACGUUUCCAGUCCUGUUAACAUGGUUUUAGGUGGAGGGUUCAUUUACAUCUCUCUUGAGGUGCUCAUCGCUGUGGGAUGCUGUCUGGGCAAUGUGCUGGUGAUGUGGGCCGUGUGGAGGAGUGGAGCCCUGAACCAAACCACUUUCUGCCUGAUUGUGUCACUGGCGAUGGCUGAUUUCCUGGUUGGAGCCGUGGCCGUUCCUCUGGCUGUGGUUGUGGACGUCCAUGUGAUGAUCCCUUUCCGUGCGUGUCUGUUCAUCAGUUGUGUCCUGAUCGUCCCGCUGCAAGCAUCAGUGCUCACCCUCCUGGCCAUUGCUGUGGAUCGCUAUCUGCGAGUCUGUAUCCCAUUCAGGUACAAGACUACAGUCACUAAGAAGCGCUCAUGGAUCAUCGCCGCUUUGUGCUGGAUUCUGGCUUCUGUUCUGGGCUUCUUACCGAUGUUUGGAUGGUACAACCAUGACACACUGACACAUUACAACUCCACCUCUAUAGACUGUCAAUUCAUUACUGUCAUUCCCACUUCAUACUUGGUCCACUUCAUCUACCAGGGGUGUUUUCUUCCUCCACUGGCAGUCAUGAUUACUUUGUAUUGCUACAUCUUUUUUAAAAUUAGGAGACAGUCGAGGGGGAGAGCAGGUGUGGCGGCUGAAACUGGUGCAUAUAAUCAAAAAGAACACAAACUGGCCAGCUCUCUGGUUUUGGUUUUGGCUCUUUUUAUUGUUUGCUGGCUGCCAAUACACUUGAUACAAGCCAUCACAUACUAUAACCAGAAUAUACAUGUACCAUCCAUUGCUUUGUACUUUGGCAUUCUCCUUUCUCAUGCCAACUCAAUGGUUAACCCUGUAGUGUAUGCCUUCAAAAUCCCUAAGAUUAAGCAGGAGUACAGGAAGAUUUGGAGGAAAGUGAUUGGUCGACAGCAGCAGGCAGAUAUAAACACUCCUGCUAGUGAUACCACAGAGAGCCACGAUGGACAAGUUCAUGUGAGAAUCAGUCCACAGGUGCUCAUUGCUGUGGGAUGCUGUCUGGGCAAUUUGCUGGUGAUGUGGGCCGUGUGGAGGAGUGGAGCCCUGAACCAAACCACUUUCUGCCUGAUUGUGUCGUUGGCGAUGGCAGAUUUCCUGGUUGGAGCCGUGGCCGUUCCUCUGGCUGUGGUUGUGGACGUCCAUGUGAAGAUCCCUUUCCAUGCGUGUCUGUUCAUCAGUUGUGUCCUGAUCGUCCCGCAGCAAGCGUCAGUGCUCACCCUCCUGGCCAUUGCUGUGGAUCGUUAUCUGCGAGUCUGUAUCGCAUUCAGGAGGAACUGAAAAAGGCGGCUGCUGUUUGUGGCGCUCAGUGACUUUCUGUCUACAACUCUGCGUUGCCUUAUGGAAUGCACUGAUGAUGUGUGAUGUCUGCGUGGGCAGGCGGGGGAGGGGGAUGGAAAAACAUAUGUCGACAGGCAGGUACAAGACUACAGUCACUAAGAAACGCUCAUGGAUCAUCGCCGCUUUGUGCUGGAUUCUGGCUUCCGUACUGGGCUUCUUACCGAUGUUUGGAUGAAGAAAGUCAAUUGUUUGGAGCCAUAUGAGGUUAGUAAAUGAUGACAGAAGAAUUAUACCUAGUGUGACCCUAUAGCGCCAUCAGCUGUUAGUUAUAGAGAAUCUGAAGUUGUUUGGUUGAAAUGUGUGUACAGUACAUUAUAAUUGCAAGGCUUCAUUAGUUUUUUUGUUUUUUUUACAAAAUCCAUGUUGAAAAAAAUCAACAACCUUUUUUACAUGACUAAGACAAGACUAAACUGUGUAUAUAAUAAUAUUUUAUGCAAUGCAAUAUUGUUAAUGAAAAAAGACAACCUUAGUUAGAAAAAAUCUAUACCAAAAUGUAUUUAGAAUACAUCUAUUUUAUACUAAGUAUAAUACAAAUCCAUUGACAUAUUUACUGAUAUAUCGCUUAAGACUUACUUUAAACUUUAUUUGGAAUACUUCUUUUGCAAAAUGCACAUUUUUUAAUAUUAAGCUUAAAAUAUGUUUCACUGUUAGGAGGGAUAGUAUGAUCUCUGUAUCAUAUCAGUCUUUAAAUGCAAAGUGUGUCUUUAGUUGGACCUCAGCACAACUUCUUGAUACCUAAAGUGCAUUAAGUACAAAAUUAGUUCCAAUUUAGCAGACUUCAGGUAUAUCAAUUUAGUAUACCAAAAGUACAAUUGCAGGAUAUUUAUAUAAAGUACAUAAAUAUGUAAAUAUAUUUGUAGUAUACUUAGCAUAAUAUAAAUGUAUUUCAAAUACAUUUUGGUAUGUUUAUUUUUCACUUGGGAAGACUAAAAUGUAGAUUAAAAAACAAAAUCUAUCUUUAUUUAAUUGACAAAUAAAUAGACAAAGACUUUUUUUGAUGGAUUUUGUUGACUAAAGCCGCGCACACACUUAACGAUUGUAAGGCCGAUUA